AUGCUGAGACUACAAAGAUGAGUUAGAAUACAUUCCUGUCUCUCAAAAGCUCACCUUCACGUGGAGGAGAGACUUAGGCAAGCCCAUGAUUUCAGUUCCAUGUGGUCGAGGUGCGGAAGACCUACUUAAAACCUGAGAGUCUCGAAUAGGAGAGGCGCUUUCAGAUCAGCCCGAGUCUUCUGCAGCGCACAGGAGCUAGUCGUACUGAAAAGAAUGAAGUUGGACUUGUCCAGGCGAGUUUCGGACAGUGCUGGGCUGCCCUGCUCUGAUCUCCUGGGUGUCUUCACCUCCUCUGGUUCCUAAGUCGGCUGCUGCACCAGCACCCAUCAAACUCUCCUGGAAGAGGAAGUGACAGCUCACCGGUAGCCUAGAAGGCCCCUGUGGGCAGAAGCAUGGACUUACUCCUCCUCAUGGAGAUGCGGCUGAGCCAUAUUUCCUUGGCACCUCUCUGGAACCUUCGACAACCACCACCUCAGACACUAACCAGACUUUAGGUCCAUUCCUUUCAUGGCUAAAAUGAGACAGUCCACAAUGUUGAUUUUAUUUGUAGGGGAUGUCAGGAUUCCAGAAAAGCAGACUUGGAAAGCAACAAAACGUUAACUUGCAGCUCACUGAGGCCCUUACACUUGUUCUGGGCACCUCUGUAUGUUAAAAGAAGUCCAAUAUCUUUAGCUGCUGGUUAUAGGUGGCCAUAUGUUUCUGCACAGAAAUGGGGCUCCCCUUGCUAGACUAAUUUUCUAAUUUUUCCUCAAGCUUCAUUGAUUCAUAUUCUUCUACUUGACCCUGACUGUCAGGACCAACAACACCAAAUAACACCAAAGUCUCUUGCUCCUGUCCUCAGAACCUCUCAGAGGCAUCCUCUGCCCUGUUGGAGCCAUUUUAUUUCAGGUUGAUCCUUAAUUAAAUUCAGCGAGAUGCAG
rnacentral:lncRNA from 1 species